rnacentral:lncRNA from 12 species
AAGAAGAAGCUGGAUAUACCCCGAAGAAGUUCCCAUUUCUCAAAGAGAUUUCGUGUGGCCAGUCAAACAAGUUGUUUGGAAGUUAUACUGUUUCUUAAGCUCUUGACAUCUCUGUGAUGAUCACCACCACCACCACCAAAAGAAAACACCCUUCCU